GGCAGCAUAGUGUAGCAAUACACUGAUGGCGACCGGCAAACGGGUGCGGAACACGUACGCAAUCUACCUCUUUCAGGGGCAUAGCCUGGAGAAAUCCGGAUUAACUCCCCAUAAGAUAAUGGUGUGGCAUCACACAGUUAUUAAAACUCAGGUGGAAAGAGAUGAGCGUGCGUCCCAUUAGCUAGUUGGUAGGGUAACGGCCUACCAAGGCGACGAUGGGUAGCUGGUGUGAGAGCACGACCAGCCACACGGGCACUGAGACACGGGCCCGACUCCUACGGGAGGCAGCAGUGAGGAAUAUUGGUCAAUGGACGCAAGUCUGAACCAGCCAUGCCGCGUGAAGGAUGAAGGCGUUCUGCGUUGUAAACUUCUUUUAUCUGGGAAGAAACCUACCUUUUCUAAGGUAGCCGACGGUACCAGAGGAAUAAGCACCGGCUAACUCCGUGCCAGCAGCCGCGGUAAUACGGAGGGUGCAAGCGUUAUCCGGAUUCACUGGGUUUAAAGGGUGUGUAGGCGGAUAUUUAAGUCCGAGGUGAAAUCUCUGAGCUCAACUCAGAAACUGCCUUGGAUACUAUUUAUCUUGAAUAUCGUUGAGGCAGGCGGAAUAUGUCAUGUAGCGGUGAAAUGCUUAGAUAUGACAUAGAACACCGAUUGCGAAGGCAGCUUGCUAAACGAUUAUUGACGCUGAGGCACGAAAGCGUGGGGAUCAAACAGGAUUAGAUACCCUGGUAGUCCCGCCCUAAACGAUGAUUACUCGACAUCAGCGAUACACAGUUGGUGUCUGACCGAAAGCAUUAAGUAAUCCACCUGGGAAGUACGACCGCCAGGUUGAAA
rnacentral:rRNA from 1 species